CUUCCAUCAGAAAACCAAGUGUUAAAGAAGGGAAUCUUCAACGUCAGAUGUUCGACGCCGGAAGCUAAUCCUUACCGUGUUAAACGGAAAUUAACAAUUGAACAUCAAGGAAAGGAGCUGUGUCUUACGCACAUAGAAUUCACUGAGUGGAACACGGAUAAAAACAUUCCAAAUGUGCCGUCUGACUAUCGUCGAUUGAUCGCAGAAGUAGACGGAUGUUACAGCAUAUACCAAUGCUGAUAGACCUGUACUGAUACACUGCCUGGACGGUGCCAGUAAAUGCGCUCUGUUCAGUGUCGUUGCCUCCCUGCUACAAACGAUGGAGGUAGAACAUGAAGUUAACAUUGUAAACGCUGUCAGUAAAGUGAGGUCAAGACGAAAAGGUGCAAUUCCUAACUCA